rnacentral:rRNA from 1 species
GACAGAGGGGGCAAGCGUUGCUCGGAAUUACUGGGCGUAAAGGGCGCGUAGGCGGGAUGGCAAGUCGGUCGUGAAAUCCCUCGGCUCAACCGAGGAACGUCGAUCGAUACUGCUGUUCUUGAGGAUUGCAGAGGAGACUGGAAUUCCAGGUGUAGCGGUGAAAUGCGUAGAUAUCUGGAGGAACACCGGUGGCGAAGGCGACAUCCUGGACCGGUAUUGACGCUGAGGCGCGAAAGCCAGGGGAGCAAACGGG